CCACCCCUCUCUCUGUCACUCUCCGACUUUGCUGGGAAAUCAAACUUCAGGGCUAAACCGUGUGUCUCAAUGUUUGGUCCAACACAUAUGUUCACAAUGGGGAAGCAGAGCGAACAGCCGGUGAGGCUUGAUUCGCAGUAAGAAGUCAGGACACUGUGUUUCCUUGUCCGGAGCAGCCCAUGUUGCACCUGAACGCUGCAACCCACCCACCGCCUGGCUCUUCAUCAGAAAUGAAAUCCUUUUGGAAUCACC